rnacentral:rRNA from 1 species
GCGUGCGUGAAGAAGGCCUUAGGGUUGUAAAGCGCUUUCACCGGUGAAGAUGAUGACGGUAGCCGGAGAAGAAGCCCCGGCUAACUCCGUGCCAGCAGCCGCGGUAAUACGGAGGGGGCAAGCGUUGUUCGGAAUGACUGGGCGUAAAGGGCGCGUAGGCGGAUGUGUAAGUUGGGGGUGAAAGGCCUGGGCUCAACCUGGGAACUGCCUCCAAAACUACACGUCUUGAGUUCGGAAGAGGAUGGCGGAAUUCCCAGUGUAGAGGUGAAAUUCGU